rnacentral:rRNA from 1 species
GAUGAACGCUGGCGGCGUGCCUAAUACAUGCAAGUCGAGCGAACAGACGAGGAGCUUGCUCCUCUGACGUUAGCGGCGGACGGGUGAGUAACACGUGGAUAACCUACCUAUAAGACUGGGAUAACUUCGGGAAACCGGAGCUAAUACCGGAUAAUAUAUUGAACCGCAUGGUUCAAUAGUGAAAGACGGUUUUGCUGUCACUUAUAGAUGGAUCCGCGCCGCAUUAGCUAGUUGGUAAGGUAACGGCUUACCAAGGCAACGAUGCGUAGCCGACCUGAGAGGUUGUUCGCCAACACUGGAACUGGACCCCGGCCAGACUCCUACGGGAGGCAGCAGUAGGGAAUCUUCCGCAAUGGGCGAAAGCCUGACGGAGCAACGCCGCGUGAGUGAUGAAGGUCUUCGGAUCGUAAAACUCUGUUAUUAGGGAAGAACAAAUGUGUAAGUAACUAUGCACGUCUUGACGGUACCUAAUCAGAAAGCCACGGCUAACUACGUG